rnacentral:rRNA from 1 species
CACCUCUAGCAUUACUAGUAUUAGAGGCACUGCCUGCCCAGUGACACACGUUUAACGGCCGCGGUACCCUGACCGUGCAAAGGUAGCAUAAUCACUUGUUCUUUAAAUGGGGACUCGCAUGAAAGGCACCACGAGGGUUUAACUGUCUCUUACUUUUAACCAGUGAAAUUGACCUGCCCGCGAAGAGGCGGGCAUAAAAUAAUAAGACGAGAAGACCCUAUGGAGCUUUAAUCUAUUAAUGCAAUCAAAAAUUACACAAACCCGCGGACCUUUAAACUACCGACACCUGCAUUAAAAAUUUUGGUUGGGGCGACCUCGGAGCACAACAAAACCUCCGAAUAAUACAUGCUAAGACCACACAAGUCAAAGCGAACUAACACUUACAAUUGAUCCAAUAAUUUGAUCAACGGAACAAGUUACCCUAGGGAUAACAGCGCAAUUCUAUUCUAGAGUCCAUAUCGACAAUAGAGCUUACGACCUCGAUGUUGGAUCAGGACAUCCUAAUGGUGCAGCAGCUAUCAAGGGUUCGUUUGUUCAACGAUUAAAGUCCU